GAUGAACGCUGGCGGCGUGCCUAAUACAUGCAAGUCGAGCGAAUGGAUUAAGAGCUUGCUCUUAUGAAGUUAGCGGCGGACGGGUGAGUAACACGUGGGUAACCUGCCCAUAAGACUGGGAUAACUCCGGGAAACCGGGGCUAAUACCGGAUAACAUUUUGAACCGCAUGGUUCGAAAUUGAAAGGCGGCUUCGGCUGUCACUUAUGGAUGGACCCGGGUCGCAUUAGCUAGUUGGUGAGGUAACGGCUCACCAAGGCAACGAUGCGUAGCCGACCUGAGAGGGUGAUCGGCCACACCGGGACUGAGACACGGCCCAGACUCCUACGGGAGGCAGCAGUAGGGAAUCUUCCGCAAUGGACGAAAGUCUGACGGAGCAACGCCGCGUGAGUGAUGAAGGCUUUCGGGUCGUAAAACUCUGUUGUUAGGGAAGAACAAGUGCUAGUUGAAUAAGCUGGCACCUUGGCGGUACCUAACCAGAAAGCCACGGCUAACUACGUGCCAGCCGCCGCAGUAA
rnacentral:rRNA from 1 species